CCCUUAGAUGUUCUGGGCCGCACGCGCGCUACACUGAUGCAUUCAACGAGUUUCUUCCUGGUCCGAGAGGAAUGGGUAACCUUUUGAAAGUGCAUCGUGAUAGGGAUAGACUUUUGCAAUUAUUGGUCUUCAACGAGGAAUUCCUAGUAGACGUAGUUCAUCAGACUGCAUCGAUUACGUCCCUGCCCUUUGUACACACCGCCCGUCGCUCCUACCGAUUGAAUGCUCAGGUGAGCCAUUCGGACUUUCAUCAUGCUGGUUUCCAGUUUUGAUGAAGGAAAGUCUUGCGAACCUUAUCAUUUAGAGGAAGGAGAAGUCGUAACA
rnacentral:rRNA from 1 species